UACAGAGGUCUCAAGCGUUGUUCGGAUUCAUUGGGCGUAAAGGGUGCGUAGGCGGCGCGGUAAGUCGGGUGUGAAAUCUCGGAGCUUAACUCCGAAACUGCAUUCGAUACUGCCGUGCUUGAGGACUGGAGAGGAGACUGGAAUUUACGGUGUAGCGGUGAAAUGCGUAGAUAUCGUAAGGAAGACCAGUGGCGAAGGCGGGUCUCUGGACAGUUCCUGACGCUGAGGCACGAAGGUCAGGGGAGCAAAC
rnacentral:rRNA from 1 species